UGUCUCUUAUUGAGGAUACCAGGGUCAGCGGUGGCUGUUUGAGUGCAGUCAGACUGUAUCUUCCAGAAAAUUUGGUCCUUUGUUCCUCAAGGCCAGUGGUCCGCAGGAUCUCAAGGGAAGUAGGUUAGUUCUGCUACAAACCGGGGUUUAGGUCAGCGUGCAAGGAGCACAUAAGCUCAUCGGUUGGCGUGCUGUCACACAGGGGAGGGUGAUAGGGAGUGAUUCAAGGAGGUGGCAGUGGCAGGGCUGAUGUCUUCCAUGGGAUUGUUGAGAGCAGACCUCCCUAUGAAAGGGAAUAUUUGAGCUGAGAUCUGGAGGUGAUGGGGUGAGUCACACAGAUUUGUGGACAAGAUGCAUAGCAGGCAAAGGGAACCACAAGCGUAAAGAUCUCAAGGUGAAACCAAUCUUGGUAUGUUUGUGGGACGACAAAGUGGCCAGUGUGGCUGGAGGUGCGUGAGAAAGGGAGAGAGUGAUGGGAGACAAGACCAAAUAGGUCACAGGGGACUCGAUCGCGUAGGGCCAUUUGUGCGUGAGAUGAUGUAGCCCUGGUGGUUUCGAGCAGAGGAGUGAUGUGGACACUGUGGCUGCCGUGUUGAGAGUAGACUGUAGGUGGGCAAGGGUGGAAGCAAAGAGCCCAGUGCAGAGGCCGUUGCCGUAGGUCAGGUGAGAGAAUGGGGGCUCAGACUGGGAUGGUGGCAGUGGAGGGGAUGAGAGGUGGUCAGAUUCUGGAAGCCUUUUGAAGGUAGGCUUGAGAGGAUUUGAUCAUAAAUUGCCUGUGGCAUUUCAGAGAAAGAGGGGUCGGGGACAGGUUACAGUCGUGGCCGAAGCAAAUGGAGUUUUCCUUUUACUGCAGUGGGAAAGACUGCGGGGUAGGCAGGGAAGGAGGAGAAAAACUGCAAGAGUGUGGACUCCUGAAAACUCAAGGAAAGGAAGUUUUAUAAGAAGGACAGUGUGACCCACCAUGUCACGCGCUAACGAGGAGGGUGAUAUCUCUUCUGCAGCUGUGGCUACAGGUGCUGCCCGACUCACAGCAUCACUGGUAUCGGUGGACUUUUCUGCCAUGUCCAAUGCUUGCUAGUUCCUAGGUUCCUGGAGCUCCACAAGAGACAGACAACUGAACUCUCACCUUGCACCAGGAGACAAAGGGACAUAUCACCAAGAGCUGUAUUCAGAAGUCUCCUCUCCAGCACACCCUGUUCAGCUCUUGGAGCAAGUGUAAUAAGAAGAAUCCACGGGGCUCCUGGGUGACCCAGUUGGUUGAACGGCCGCCUCAUGAUUUGGGCUCGGGUCAUGAUCCCAGAGUAUGGGAUCGAGCCCCGUGUUGGGCUCCAUGCUGAGCGCAGAGCCUGCUUAAGAUUCUGCCUCUCUCUGCCUCUGCCCUCUGCUUGUGCGCACUUGCUCUUUCUCUGAAAACAACAACAAAAAAAAAAAAAAGAAGGAAAAGAAAACAGAAAAAGAAUCCAGCUUUCUCAUUCAGAGUGGUUUUUUUCCACCUAUAAUGCUGCUUUAGGCUGACCAUCUACCUCAGCCUCCCCCCCCACUCCCCGCCCCCCGCUUCAUCACCAUUACACUCUCACAUCCAAUCUUCCUAGAUAAUCACAAGCACUCCCAGACUCAGUGGCCCUAUAUCUGGAAACCAUACUGCACUUUAGUUAAUGACUAUGCUUUAAACAUUUUGUUGAAGUAAAUGGAAUUACUAAAAUAGGUGUACAUUAUCUUCAGUGUUAACUGUUUAUUUAACAUCAUAACCUAAUUGUACUUUUAUAUACCGUCACUAAUCAAAAUUCUAGGUUUGAAAGGGGAAUCCUCCAGCAAGAUCAUCUUUUGAAGUAAACUUCUGCCCUGCAUCCCA